rnacentral:lncRNA from 1 species
GGUUGGGCAAGGACGACACUCCGGGCCCUACCGGCGGAAGCUCUGCUCCUGUCGUGCGUGGACCACGCAGCAAAUGGCCUUGGAGGCUGCUGGCAGCCAUCUUGUGACCAUGAGGCAAGUCAGCGCAGGCCGAAGCUGACGACGCGAAGACAAUGAGGAGAGGGAGAAAGAGCCGAUCUUUGGCAUCUAAGCCGGGCACAUUGGCCCAAGCCUGUAAUCCCAGCACUUUGGGAGGCCGAGGCAGGCGGAUCACUUAAGCUCAGGAGUUCGAAACCAGCCUGGCCAAGAUGGUGAAACCCCAUCUCUACUAAAAAUACAAAAGAUUAGCCGGCUGUGAUGACGCGCACCUGUAAUCUCAGCUACUCGGGAGGCUGAGGCACGAGAAUCGCUUGCACCCAGGAGGUGGAGGCUGCAGUGAGCCGAGAUCACGCCAGGGCACUCCGGCCUGGGCGACAGAGUGAGACUUCGUCUCAAGAAAAACCAAAAAUCCAAAAGAACUACAGGCAUCGGCUGUGUCCCCACUAGGAAGCCGGAGGGGAGCAGGGCUGGGUGUGUCUUCUCUGGCUGCGUCCCUGCGGCCACAAGGCCUGUUCUUCCUCUGUGCCCCGCCUGCCAAGGACCCAGCCUUGUGAAGGAUGGAUGAAUGAAUCAUUGAGCAAAUGAAUGAGUGUGUGAACAGGGAGAGUCUGCAGCAGGGAGACCCCGGCAGCUUCGAGUAUGGAGGGGAGACUCUGGCCGCCUGAGCCCCGCAGAGCAGGCUUCGUGAUGCCUGGAGACACCCACUUCCCCUUCCUUCUCCUGGGACUUCUCAGUCACACGGGCUGAGCUGCAGAGGAGCUGGCUGCCAGGUGCUGAGCCGCCCCAAGAAAAAGCCCUCGUGGCAAGAAACUGAGGCCUCCAGCCAGCAGUCAGGGACCCGAGGCCUGAGACGGUGGAGGGUGAGCUUGCAAAGGGACCCCACAGUCGGGCCUUGAGAGGCCCACGGGCCUGGCCCACACCUCGGCUGCAGCCUUGUGAAGGUCCCUGAGCAGGGGACCCAGACUUCUGUCCUACAGAAACUUGGAGAUAAUAAAUGCCUGCUCUUCUACGGCACUGAGUGUCGGGUGAUUUGUUACGGGCAGUAGACAGCUAAUACCUGCCCCUUAGGACACCAAGUCCUCGCCUCCUGGAGGCCCAAGCCCCAGGGAGCCAUGCCUGACUUGCCGCCUGUCGAUGGGCCACGCGUUCCUUGUUGAUGCCAUUCUGGGGUCCCCUCACCCUGACAUACUAGGAGCCAGUUCCGAGGGAGGCUCUUCUGCCACCAACCCUGGCCCAGGGGGACACUGAGCUCCUUGAUGCUGAGGGCCGGUGGUUCCUUAUCGCCUGGCGACCAGCGUGUCCUCCGGGUCCUUUUCCAAUACCAGCACCUCCCAGCUCAAAAACACAACCCAGCACUCCUGUUCCUCCGUCUCCCGGCCCUCCCUCGACACUGGGCCGAGGCAGCCUGUGCACCUGCCCCAAGCUCCCAGGAGCUGACCCAGCAGCGGAUUCGGCCUGGUUCCCGGCAUCCUUACCGGGAUUUGGAAAAUGCUCCUUUCAAUCAAUAAAGGCCCCACGCGGGCCUUCUUCCGCCCUCCCCUCCAGCAUCCUCCAUCUCCAUUUCCACCCGUCCUCCCCGUCCUGCCAGGCCGCAGCUCCUUGCAGAAUAACCCACACCCUCCAGUCGCAGGGACAGAACACCCUAGUUACUGGCCUAGAAUUUUGCGGGGGACGAGGACAGGCAGACCCUAAGGAGGACACUCGCCUCAGGUGAGACCUUUGCAAGGUCCCGGCAGUGGGAGCCACUCCCGCCACUGCGGAGGGAACAGAGGGCAGGGAUCUAAGAGGCUUCUACCCAAAUACCGCAUCCAGGUCAUAGCGUCCCACCCCCCGCUGCCACCGGGGCCCUGACUUCAACACGGGAGGCAGACCAGACGCCACCGCCCUGGGAUCAGAGCUUGGGCCCGAGGGUUGGCCCCGUCUGCACUCUGGCUUUCGGAAUGAGGCUCGCUGUCAAUGCUGUGGUGGAGCUGCAUUCGUUUCCGGGGCUUCUAUAACAAGGUGCCAUAGAACAGGGCUCCAACAGCAGCCCAUUCUCCCACUGUCCUGGAGGCUGGAAGUUCGAGACCAAGGUGCCUGCAGAGUUGGUUCCUCCUGAGGCCUUUCUCCCUGGCUUGUAGAUGGCCCUCUUCUCCUGACUCCUCACACAGAGUCAUCCCUCUGUGUGUAUCUGUGUCCUAGUCUCUCUUCUUUUUCUUUUCGCUUCUUCUUUUUUUUUUUUUGAAGACAGGGUCUCUCUCUCUCUGUCACCCAGGCUGGAGUGCAGUGGUGUUAUCAUAGCUCACUGCAGCCUAGACCUCCCAGGCUCAGGUGAUGCUCCUACCUCAGCCUCCCAAGUAGCUGGGACCACAGACAUGUGUCACCACACCCGACUAAUUUUUUAUAUUUUGUUGUAGAGAUGGGGUCUCACUAUGUUGCCCAGGCUCAACUGGCUUUAAGCCAUCCUCCCACCUCGACCUUCCAAAGUGUUGGGAUUACAGGUGUGAGCCACUGAGCCUGGCCCUUAUCUCUUUUUCUCAGGACACGACUCAGGCCGGGCGUGGUGGCUCAUGCCUAUAAUCCCAGCACAUUGGGAGGCCAAGACGGGCGGAUCACCUGAGGUCAGGAGUUCCAGACCAGCCUGGUCAGCAUGGUGAAACCCCGUCUCUACUAAAAAUAUAAAAAUUAGCCAGGUGUGGUGGCCAGCGCCUGUAAUCCCAGCUACUCGGGAGGCUGAGGCAGGAGAAUCGCUUGAACCCAGGAGGCGGAGGUUGCAGUGAGCCAAGAUCGCACCAUUGCACUCUAGCCUGGGUGACAGAGUGGGACUCCGUCUCAAAAAAUAAAAAAAGUGGGGGAUGGGGGUGGGGGUGGGGGUGGGCCAGGCGCGGUGGCUCACGCCUGUAAUCCCAUCACUUUGGGAGGCCGAGACGGGUGGAUCACCUGAGGUCAGAAGUUCGAGACCAGCCUGACCAACAUGGGGAAACUUCAUCUCUACUAAAAAAUACAAAAAUUAGCCGGGUGUGGUGGUGGGUGCCUGUAAUCCCAGGUGCUCAGGAGGCGAAGCAGAAGAAUCACUUGAACCCAAGAGGUGGAGGUUGCAGUGAGCCAAGCUCGUGACACUGCACUCCAGACUGGGUGACAGAGCAAGACUUCAUUUCAAAGGAAAAAAAAAACAAGGCCAGCGGUCAUGUGGGAACAGGACUCGCUGUAAUCCCCUCUUUAAAGGCCAUAUCUGUAAAUACAG